rnacentral:rRNA from 1 species
UACGGAAGGCAGCAGUGGGGAAUAUUGCACAAUGGGCGCAAGCCUGAUGCAGCCAUGCCGCGUGUAUGAAGAAGGCCUUCGGGUUGUAAAGUACUUUCAGUCGUGAGGAAGGUGUUAAGGUUAAUAACCUUAGCAAUUGACGUUAGCGACAGAAGAAGCACCGGCUAACUCCGUGCCAGCAGCCGCAGUAAUACGGAGGGUGCGAGCGUUAAUCGGAAUUACUGGGCGUAAAGGGCACGCAGGCGGUUAAUAAGUUGGAUGUGAAAUCCCCGGGCUUAACCUGGGAAUGGCAUUCAAGACUGGUUAGCUAGAGUCUUGUAGAGGGGGUAGAAUUCCAUGUGUAGCGGUGAAAUGCGUAGAGAUGUGGAGGAAUACCGGUGGCGAAGGCGGCCCCUGGGACAAAGGACUGACGCUCAUGUGCGAAAGCGUGGGGAGCAAACAGGGAUUAGAUACC